rnacentral:lncRNA from 1 species
UUAACUCAGUCUCAUUGAAUAAGUAAACAAUUGGAUUGGUUUAAUUGCAUGGUGCCGACGAAAUCGAGUGCUAAUUCCCAUUUUAUUGAAUUAACCGAUCGACGUGCUAGCGGACAUUUAUUUUGAAUUCGAGAAUUCAAAAAAAAAAAUUUCGACAUAUUUAUUUAUUUUAUUAUUAUGAGAAUCAAUCCUACUACUUCUGGUUCUGGGGUUUCCACGCUUGANCUCAUUUUAUUGAAUUAACCAAUCGACGUGCUAGCGGACAUUUAUUUUGAAUUUGAGAAUUCAAAAAAAAAAUUUGACAUAUUUAUUUAUUUUAUUAUUAUGAGAAUCAAUCCUACUACUUCUGGUUCUGGGGUUUCCACGCUUGAAAAAAAAACCUGGGGCAUGUCGUCCAAAUCAUCGGUUCGGUACUAGAUGUAGCCUUUCCCCCGGGCAAGAUGCCAAAUAUUUAUAACGCUCUGGUAGUUCAAGGUCGAGAUAGUGUUGGUCAACCAAUUAAUGUGGCUUGUGAGGUACAGCAAUUAUUAGGAAAUAAUCGAGUUAGGGCUGUAGCUAUGAGUGCUACAGACGGUCUAACGAGAGGAAUGGAAGUGAUUGACAAAGGAGCUCCUAUAAGUGUUCCAGUCGGGGGAGCGACUCUGGGACGAAUUUUUAACGUGCUCGGAGAGCCUGUUGAUAAUUUAGGGCCUGUAGAUACUAGUACAACGUCUCCUAUUCAUAGAUCUGCGCCCGCCUUUAUACAGUUGGAUACAAAAUUAUCUAUUUNAGCGACUCUGGGAUGAAUUUUUAACAUGCUCGGAGAGCCUGUUGAUAAUUUAGGGCCUGUAGAUACUAGUACAAUGUCUCCUAUUCAUAGAUCUGUGCCCGCCUUUAUACAGUUGGAUACAAAAUUAUCGAUUUUUGAAACAAAAAUUAAAGUAGUAGAUCUUUUAGCCCUUAUUGCCAUGGAGGAAAAAUCGAACUAUUCGGGGGAGCUGGAGUGGGUAAAAUAGUACUCAUUAUGGAAUUGAUUAACAAUAUUGCUAAAGCUCACGGGGGCGUAUCCGUAUUUGGCGGAGUGGGUGAACGUACUCGGGAAGAAAAUGAUCUUUACAUGGAAAUGAAAGAAUCUGGAGUGAUUAAUAAAGAAAAUAUUGCAGAAUCAAAAGUGGCCCUAGUUUACGGUCAGAUGAAUGAACCGCCGGGAGCUCGUAUGAGAGUUGGUUUGACUGCCCUAACUAUGGUGAAAUAUUUUCGAGAUGUUAAUGAGCAAGACGUACUUCUAUUUAUUAACAAUAUCUUUCGUUUCGUCCAAGCAGGAUCUGAAGUAUCGGCUUUAUUGGGUAGAAUACCUUUUGCUGUGGGUUAUCAACCGACCCUAAGUAUCGAAAUGGGUUCUUUAAAAGAAAGAAUUACUUCUACCAAAGAAGGGUCUAUAACCUCUAUUCAAGCAGUUUAUGUACCCGCAGAUGAUUUGACCGACCCUACUCCUGCUACGACAUUUGCAUAUUUAGAUGCUAUUACCGUACUAUCAAGAGGAUUGGCUGCCAAAGGUAUUUAUCCAGCAGUAGAUCCUUUAGAUUCAACGUCAACCAUGCUUCAACCUCGGAUCGUUGGUGAGGAACAUUACGAAACCGCCCAAAGAGUUAAGCAAACUUUACAACGUUACAAAGAACUUCAGGACAUUAUAGCUAUCCUUGGAUUGGACGAAUUAUCCGAAGAGGAUCGUUUACUCGUAGCAAGAGCGCGAAAAAUUGAGCGUUUCUUAUCACAACCCUUUUUCGUAGCAGAAGUAUUUACCGGUUCUCCAGGGAAAUAUGUUGGUCUAGCAGAAACAAUUCGAGGAUUUCAAUUGAUCCUUUCCGGAGNAGAGCGCAAAAAAUUGAGCGUUUCUUAUCACAACCCCUUUUCAUAGCAGAAGUAUUUACCGAUUCUCCAGGGAAAUAUGUUGGUCUAGCAGAAACAAUUCGAGGAUUUCAAUUGAUCCUUUCUGGAGAAUUAGAUGGUCUUCCUGAACAGGCCUUUUAUUUGGUAAGUACUAUCGAUGAAGCUACCGUGAAGGCUAUGAACAUAAAAAUGGAGAGAAAUUUGAAGAAAUGACCUUAAAUCUUAGUGUACAGACCCCUAAUCGAAUUGUUUGGGAUUCAGAAGUGGAAGAAAUUAUUUUAUCUACUAAUAGUGGUCAAAUUGGCAUAUUACCAAAUCACGCUCCUAUUGUCAUAGCUGUAGAUAUAGGGAUUUUGAGAAUACGCCUUAACGACCAAUGGUUAACGAUGGCUCUGAUGGGUGGUUUUGCUAGAAUAGGAAACAAUGAGAUCACUGUUUUAGUAAAUGAUGCGGAGAGGGGUAGUGACAUUGAUCCACAAGAAGCUCAGCAAACUCUUGAAAUAGCGGAAGCUAAUGUGAAAAAGGCUGAAGGAAGGAGACAAAAAAUUGAGGCAAAUCUAGCUCUCCGACGAGCUAGAACACGGGUGGAGGCUAGCAAUCCGAUUUCAUAACUAGUUGGUACGUUCGAAUAAUAAAAAGAAGUUCUCUUUCUANAAAGCUAAUGUGAAAAAAGCUGAAGGAAGGAGACAAAAAAUUAAGGCAAAUCUAGCUCUCCGACGAGCUAGAACAUGGAUGGAGGCUAGCAAUCCGAUUUCAUAACUAGUUGGUACGUUCGAAUAAUAAAAAGAAGUUCUCUUUCUAAUCCUAUUUAGAUUCUGUCGGGUGAAUACAAUCAAAUACAAUCAAACAGAAUCCAAUUCUGAUGCAAAAAUUCCAAUUAAAAAAUGAAAUAGAAAAGAUACAAAAUCAAAAAAUAAAUAUCACUAAAGGUGGGUCGUAAACCUUAUUAGAUACCAUUGACUCUGGUAUCUAAUAAGUUUUACCUACUAUUGGAUUUGAACCAAUGACUCCCGCCGUAUGAAAGCAGUACUCUAACCACUGAGUUAAGUAGGUCAUUUAUCAUCCCAAAGAGAACCAAAUGAAACCCAUCCUGUCGAUGGAUUAUAAAUAUCAUNAGUAUCUAAUAAGUUUUACCUACUAUUUGAUUUGAACCAAUGACUCCCGCUGUAUGAAAGAAGUACUCUAACCACUCAGUUAAGUAGGUCAUUUAUCAUCCCAAAGAGAACCAAAUGAAACCCAUCCUGUCGAUGGAUUAUAAAUAUCAUAUUACUUAUAAGCAAUACUAAUCUAAGGAAUACCACUCAAAGAGAUCAAAGAUUCUUGAUGUUGGAUCAUGGAAUAUUUCUCUUGACAAGAAUUUACCUACAUGAUAAAAUAUGUAUCACAAGCACUAAGGGCUAUAGCUCAGUUGGUAGAGCAACUCGUUUACACGCGCGCCAAUGUUUUUCAAGGGAGUUCAUCAUACAAUCAGCAAAAUUGAUCUUGUUGAGAAAUUGAUGUCUUACUCCAUAACUUUGAGGGAACCAUAGCUUGACAAAGGUUCAGUCCAAUUUGGACGCCCAUUUAGGAGGUGCCAACCAAACCCCAUCAUUGAUUUGAGAUCUUGAUAAGGUGAAUACCCAGUCUAUUCAAUGCUAGGCAUAAUGAGUAUAAGGACCUCAAAAAAAUCUCUUUUCGUCAUAUGAACUUUAAGGUGUAUGAAGUUUCAUAUUUUAUUUUUAAUCAGAACGAUAGAGACUUCAUUUAACUUAGGUUGAUCUAGGCCAGAGACAGACCUACGUCAAGAUAAUCCCGCCUUUGAAACACUUUGGUAAUGCUCCCAAAUAAGGAAUCAGAGCACAUGGAGCCAUUUCCUUAUCUUAUCUUUUUUUCUGUCAAGAAAAAAAUGGCGGACUAACUGAUAUUUAUAUCAGUUAAUGAAGGAGCCCAAUGCAAAAAAAAAAUGCAUGUUGGGUCUUUGAAACAGUUCAGAUCAUUUUAAUAAUAAUAAGUUUGAUCUGUUUUACCGAGAAGGUCUACGGUUCGAGUCCGUAUAGCCCUAUAAAAAUGAAAAAUGGAAAUUAUACCAUUUUUUUUUUGCAUUUUUCAUUAGUAUUUCUUGCUUGUAACUAAGUGAAAUCCAAUUAUUCCUAUAAGUUUACUCACGGCAAUCGUUUAAGCAGAUGAAAGAAAAAACGCAUAUCAAUGGAUAAUUUUUGCAAUUGCAGAUAAACAAACCAACCUUUCGUCAUUAAUCUUCGGAGGCGAAUUACAUAUUCAUAUCCACAAUAAAAGAAUUAGUGAGACUCCCUUUCUUUUGAUAUUCCCCAUCUUAAUGAAUUUUGGAAGUCAACACAUUUCACGGGCCUGGUGAAAUGAAAAACUACGAAGAGGAAUUCACAUGGAUUUAGGAAAGGCCUGCUGUAUUUGUGUACAAGCUAAAGUUUUUUGAAAAACGAAUAUCUUUGGUCACUUUCAUUGUCAAAUAGGCUUUUCCUUCGUAUACCUUCCUUACCUCGACCUAGUGAAGCACAACAAAAAAAGGUAGUCUUCUUUUUCUGUAUUCAACCAAGAAAAACCCCUCCACCUGGAUUCGAAUCCUAAUACUAUACUAAUACUAUAUAAUACUAUACUAAUACUAUAUAUUAAAUAAUAAUUUAUUAAAUAAUAAUAAAAGGAAUAUACCAACAUAAGAUCUUCUAAAUCUUGAGAUGGAAAUUCCGAUACAUUCUCUUCUAUUUGAUUACUUGUUCUAUUCUAAAUCACUAAGAAAAAAAAAAUGCAAAUAAAGACCUCCUGAUUCUNACAAUUGCAGAUAAACAAACCAACCUUUCAUCAUUAAUCUUCGGAGGCGAAUUACAUAUUCAUAUCCACAAUAAAAAAACUAGUGAGACUCCCUUUCUUUUGAUAUUCCCCAUCUUAAUGAAUUUUGGAAGUCAACACAUUUCACGGGCCUAGUAAAAUAAAAAACUACGAAGAGAAAUUCACAUGGAUUUAGGAAAGGCCUGCUGUAUUUGUGUACAAGCUAAAGUUUUUUGAAAAAUAAAUAUCUUUGGUCACUUUCAUUGUCAAAUAGGCUUUUCCUUCGUAUACCUUCCUUACCUCGACCUAGUGAAGCACAACAAAAAAAGGUAGUCUUCUUUUUCUGUAUUCAACCAAGAAAAACCCCUCCACCUGGAUUCGAAUCCUAAUACUAUACUAAUACUAUAUAAUACUAUACUAAUACUAUAUAUUAAAUAAUAAUUUAUUAAAUAAUAAUAAAAGGAAUAUACCAACAUAAGAUCUUCUAAAUCUUGAGAUGGAAAUUCCGAUACAUUCUCUUCUAUUUGAUUACUUGUUCUAUUCUAAAUCACUAAGAAAAAAAAAAUGCAAAUAAAGACCUCCUGAUUCUAUUUAUAGAUAUUUAUAGAAAAAAAUAGAAAUCUUUAAAGAAUUUCNAAUACAUUCUCUUUUAUUUGAUUACUUGUUCUAUUCUAAAUCACUAAGAAAAAAAAUGCAAAUAAAGACCUCCUGAUUUUAUUUAUAGAUAUUUAUAGAAAAAAAUAGAAAUCUUUAAAGAAUUUCUAAUUCUAAUUAAAGAAGAAAUAAGAUGAGUAAUUAAUUUAGAGUUCGCCGUCUUUAGAGAAAAAACAAGAGAAACAGGAGAAUUUGUCGAAGAGUAAUAUAUAGUUAGAAGGUUCUACUAACUAAAUAAAAUCUAAAUAAAAUGGAAAUAAGUAUAAUGGAAAAAAAUCGGAUUCCAGUCGAUGAAUCUUGCAAUGAUAUAUGCCCUACAAUAAACCAAUAAACAAAGCAAACUAGGCGGUUCGACCAAAAUGAAUUCUUGUUUUGACUAAAUAGUUAUGGAUGACUUGACAAUNUUUAAUUCAAAAUUAAUUCUAGGGAAGAGAGACCCAUACAAAUUAAUCAUGUGCCAGGAACCGGAUUUGAACUGGUGACACGAGGAUUUUCAGUCCUCUGCUCUACCAACUGAGCUAUCCCGGCGAUUUCCAACCCAGAUUAGAUUGGAACGAGGAUUUCCAGUCCUCUAUCCUACCAAUCUGGAUUGGAAAUUGGAACCGUUAACAUGAGGAUUUCGAGUCCUUUGGGUGGUAUCCUUAUUUUAUUUGAUUCUAUCAUAGAACUGGGUCUAUGUCAAGUAAGUCGAUUAACAAAUUUUCUCAAAGCCGGGGAAUUUCUUCGAUCUUCAAAAAGAUGAUUUUGUAAGUUUCAGUAUGAGUAAUGAUAUUGUAUUGAUCGGGAAUCAUUCAACUAGGGAUUCCUUGCUCAAAGAUGUUCAUUUCUACGUGUAUCAUAGAUAUCAAAAGGCUUGUGAUAAGAGAAAACCAUUUACUCUUAGAAAAAAAAUCCAUUUCUAAAAGAAUAGAGUGGAUGAGAAAGAUAAGGAAUUUGGAACCGUUAAGGAAAGGGGGUCGGAUAAAUAGUUGGGGAGUUAAAUAGUCUUUUUGGGGAUAGAGGGACUUGAACCCUCACGAUUUUUAAAGUCGACGGAUUUUCCUUUUACUAUAAAUUUCAUUGUUGCCGGUAUUGACAUGUAGAACGGGACUCUAUCUUUAUUCUCGUCCGAUUAAUCAGUUCUUCAAAAGAUCUAUCAGACUAUGGAGUGAAUGAUUUGAUCAAUGAAUAUUCGAUUCUUUCUUCAAUGUAGAAUGGAUUCACACCAAUUCUUCUAUUUUUUAUAGAAAAAAUACGGAUUCGGGUCGUCAUUAAUCAUUUGAUAUAGUAUUCAAUACGUAUGUAUAUACGUUUCUCCUGCACUUCAUUCUUUUUCUUUCUGAAGUUUCGAUGUAAAGAGUCCUCUACCAACACAUUUAACUCCAUUUGUUAGAAUAGCUUCCAUUGAGUCUCUGCACCUAUCCUUUUUUUCUGAACCUUUGUUUGUUUUGAGAAAACAGGAUUUGGCUCAGGAUUGCCCAUUUUUGUUAAUUCCAGGGUUUCUCUGAAUUUGAAAGUGAUCACUUAGUAAGUUUCCAUACCAAGGCUCAAUCCAAUUAAGUCCGUAGCGUCUACCAAUUUCGCCAUAUCCCCCUUUCUUUUUGUUUUGAGAUUAGGAUCCCGUUGGGAUGUCAUUCCUUUUUCUUUUUCUNAUGGAUGACUUGACAAUUCCAAUUUGAAUCGACCAAUUGAAUCUGGUAUAUUUUCCACGUUCAUAGGAGUACGUUUAUGUUUCUGCUUUAUGAAUAUGAUUUUUUUGGGUAUUUCUAAUAAUAUCCAUCCUUGUUCCUAUUUUGGCAUUUUUUAUUUUCGGAGUGUUAGCCCCGAUUAGCAAAGGGCCGGAGAAACUUUCUACUUAUGAGUCGGGUAUAGAACCAAUGGGCGAUGCUUGGUUACAAUUUCUAAUCCGUUAUUAUAUGUUUGCUCUAGUUUUUGUUAUUUUUGAUGUUGAAACGGUUUUUCUUUAUCCAUGGGCAAUCAGUUUCGAUGUAUUGGGCGUGUCUGUAUUUAUAGAAGCUCUCAUUUUCGUGCUUAUCUUAAUUAUAGGUUUAGUUUAUGCAUGGAGAAAGGGGGCAUUGGAAUGGUCUUAGCUCCUGAAUAUUUAGAAAUAAAAAGAAAAACGGAAAAAAUAAGAUUGAGACAGUUAUGAAUUCCAUUCAGUUUCCUUUACUUGAUCGAACAGCCCCAAAUUCAGUUAUUUCAACUACAUUAAAUGAUCUUUCAAAUUGGUCAAGACUCUCUAGUUUAUGGCCGCUUCUCUAUGGUACCAGUUGUUGCUUCAUUGAAUUUGCUUCACUAAUAGGCUCACGCUUCGACUUUGAUCGUUAUGGACUCGUACCAAGAUCGAGUCCUAGACAAGCGGAUCUAAUUUUAACAGCUGGAACAGUAACAAUGAAAAUGGCCCCCUCUUUAGUGAGAUUAUAUGAGCAAAUGCCUGAACCAAAAUAUGUUAUUGCUAUGGGAGCCUGUACAAUUACAGGCGGGAUGUUCAGUACCGAUUCUUAUAGUACUGUUCGGGGAGUCGAUAAGCUAAUUCCUGUAGAUGUAUAUUUGCCAGGUUGUCCACCUAAACCGGAAGCGGUUAUAGAUGCUAUAACAAAACUUCGUAAGAAAAUAUCUCGAGAACUCUAUGAAGAUCGAAUUAGGUCUCAACGAGCGAAUCGGUGUUUUACUACCAACCACAAGUUUCAUGUUCGACGCAGUAUUCAUACGGGAAAUUAUGAUCAAAGAGUUCUUUAUCAACCACCAUCUACUUCAGAGAUUCCUACGGAAAUCUUUUUCAAAUACAAAAAUUCAGUAUCUUCCGCCGAAUUAGUGAAUUAGACAGGAUUCCUUUGUCUAGAAUAAGAAGUGGUGGGUCAAUUUUCAUAAAUUUAAAUCGUAAAUGUGAAAUACUUAUACAAAUAAAAAUGCGGGAGAGAUAAAAAAGAUGCAGGGUCGUUUGUCUGCUUGGCUAGUCAAGCAUGGGCUAAUUCAUAGAUCUUUGGGCUUUGAUUACCAAGGAAUCGAGACUUUACAAAUAAAGCCCGAGGAUUGGCAUUCCAUUGCUGUCAUUUUUUAUGUAUAUGGGUACAACUAUCUACGCUCUCAAUGUGCCUAUGAUGUAGCGCCUGGCGGGCUGUUAGCUAGUGUGUAUCAUCUUACGAGAAUAGAGGAUGGUGUGGAUCAACCAGAAGAGGUAUGCAUAAAAGUAUUUGCCUCCAGGAGGAAUCCUAGAAUUCCGUCUGUUUUCUGGGUUUGGAAAAGCGUGGAUUUUCAAGAACGAGAAUCAUAUGAUAUGUUGGGAAUCUCUUAUGAUAAUCAUCCACGCUUGAAACGUAUCUUAAUGCCUGAAAGUUGGAUAGGAUGGCCCUUACGUAAGGAUUAUAUUGCCCCCAAUUUUUAUGAAAUCCAAGAUGCUCAUUGAAUGAUAAGAAAGCUAUUUCUACUUAGAAAAUUUCCGAUAUUCAAGGAUUGCACGUUCUGUUAUAGAUUAAGCAGGUCUAGUUUAGGGAAUUAUCGAUAGGCUAGCUAACAACAAAAGACAAUUAGGGAUUCAUUAGAAUUCUCACAUUUAGUUGGAAGAUACUUCUUUCGGAUGGGGCACACCAAUAGGAUGAACCAAAUGAGUUCUGCAUCAUGAACUUUGUACUGCGCACAUUACUUAGACGGGUUCUAGAAAGGCAUAUAGGAAUGAAUGGAGAAAUCGAAGAUGAAAGAAAAGACAAAGAAAUGAGAUAAUAUCGGAUUCUAUUUCUUUGGAUCUGAGAUGAAUCUUGUCUAUUUCAACCCCCCUAGAUUCGGAUUUGACUUUUGAGCCUUUCAACAAUUAACUAAUUUUACCUUUCGAAUAUAUAUUACGUAUUCAAACAAAUUCGUUUGAUUUGAACGAGAGGAGAAAAAAAGAGGAGAUAGAAUCCAAUUCUUUUAGAUACUUUAUCUAAGAAACUCUACCCAUCUAUGUUCUAGAUGGGGUAUAUCUCGCCAAACUGGAUAAAGCUAUUAUUCUAAUCUAGACUCUAAAAGAAUAUGUAUGUUGAUUCAUAUCAAUUAAUUCGAAAUUAAUUCUAGGGAAGAGAGACCCAUACAAAUUAAUCAUGUGCCAGGAACCGGAUUUGAACCGGUGACACGAGGAUUUUCAGUCCUCUGCUCUACCAACUGAGCUAUCCCGGCGAUUUCCAACCCAGAUUAGAUUGGAACGAGGAUUUCCAGUCCUCUAUCCUACCAAUAUGGAUUGGAAAUUGGAACCGUUAACAUGAGGAUUUCGAGUUCUUUGGGUGGUAUCCUUAUUUUAUUUGAUUCUAUCAUAUUUUAUUUGAUUCUAUCAUAGAACUGGGUCUAUGUCAAGUAAGUCGAUUAACAAAUCUUCUCAAAGCCGGGGAAUUUCUUCAAUCUUCAAAAAGAUGAUUUUGUAAGUUUCAGUAUGAGUAAUGAUAUUGUAUUGAUCGGGAAUCAUUCAACUAGGGAUUCCUUGCUCAAAGAUGUUCAUUUCUACGUGUAUCAUAGAUAUCAAAAGGCUUGUGAUAAGAGAAAACCAUUUACUCUUAGAAAAAAAAACCAUUUCUAAAAGAAUAGAGUGAAUGAGAAAGAUAAGGAAUUUGGAACCGUUAAGAAAAGGGGGUCGGAUAAAUAGUUGGGGAGUUAAAUAGUCUUUUUGGGGAUAGAGGGACUUGAACCCUCACGAUUUUUAAAGUCGACGGAUUUUCCUUUUACUAUAAAUUUCAUUGUUGCCGGUAUU